AUUGAACGCUGGCGGCAUGCUUUACAAAUGCAAGUCGAACGGUAACAGGGUGCUUGCACCGCUGACGAGUGGCGAACGGGUGAGUAAUGCGUCGGAACGUGCCGAGUAGUGGGGGAUAACGCAGCGAAAGUUGUGCUAAUACCGCAUACGUACUGAGGUAGAAAGUGGGGGACCUUCGGGCCUCACGCUAUUCGAGCGGCCGACGUCUGUUUAGCUAGUAGGUGAGGUAAAGGCUCACCUAGGCGAAGACAAGUAGCGGGUCUGAGAGGAUGGUCCGCCACACGGGGAAUGAGACGCGGCCCAGACUCCUACGGGGAGCAGCAGUGGUGAAUUUUGGACAAUGGGCGAAAGCCUGAUCCAGCCAUGCCGCGUGUCUGAAGAAGGCCUUCGGGUUGUAAAGGACUUUUGUCAGGGAGGAAAUCCCUAGUGCUAAUAACACUGGGGGAUGACAGUACCUGAAGAAUAAGCACCGGCUAACUACGUGCCAGCCGCCAGCGUAA
rnacentral:rRNA from 1 species